UGGAUUUGCCAAUACACAAAGGCGAAAAGUCAGUAUUGCCCCCGUAUCCCGGAGUAUCCUGCCGUAUCCGUUCGAUACAUCCGGAUACGUAUCUGUAAAUAAAUCUGAUUGUGGGGGCAAUAUUGACAUUUCAUCCUGGUUUAGCAUUUAGCGCGACAACUUGAGCUCUCUCACAGUCUCACUAGUUUGGGAAGCCGCAAUGGCAGCAGACAAGGCUGAAGAAGACGAGUCGGUUCCGGCGGCAGCUCCGCGUGGCCGUUACGUCAACAAGAGAAAGGUCUCAGGUACCCACCUUCAAAUUAGACCCUGAAAUUUUCUUCCUUUUAUGAUUUUGGUGAAUUGGGUUUUGGUGUGUCUUGGUUUCACAAGAGGAAGAAGAAUAUUGAACUUCUUGCAUCAGGGACUUCAUACGAGAGUCAUUUGUGUUAGAAAUAGCUGAAUUGAAUUCCAGUGUUUGAGGAAUCAGGUGAUUCCACAUUCGGCUGCUGUGGUGGUGUUGAACUAGUACUAGAAGCUGCUGACACUGCUGAAGGAGAUAGGUUCGGAGAUUUAGACUUUUAACUGUUGAACAUAUUAGACUGAGUAUCAGUGAUUGAUUUCUUAGAACUGUUUUUCACUUUCGUUAGAUUAGUUAGAGUUGUUAUCUGUGUUGUGUUGAUUUUGGGUUCUUGCUGUAAACGAGUUCAGGGAUGAAGGGUUUGGUGAUGGGAAUUUGAGGUUUGGGACUGUAGGGGUUUGGUAAAGGCUUGAAUUUGGUAACUGGGUUUAGAUCAAAAUUCUGGCUUUUAUAUGGGAACUGUGGAUUUGGUGAGAAAGAUUGAAAAUUUGAUGAUGGGUUGAAGAUUGUAGAAUAGACGAGCUAUACGACAAUCUGAAAGAUUGAACAUUCUCUAUGUGAGAAUGUUCAAUAUUUGAUGAUGGAUCCCAUAUGCCAACCGUGAAAUAUUGUAGGAAGCUUGCAGAUCGACCGGAUUGCAUAUAUUAACCGAGAAAUGUGAUAUUUUAUUCAUUUACAUUGGGACCGGUGUUUAAGAACUGUUUAGAUUCAUUACAGUCAGUUGAGCAGUAGCAUUUUUUUAUAACAAAGCUAAGAAUAUCCAACAUGCCAACCGCGAGAUAUUGUUGGGAGUCUUGGGAGUCUGACCAUGCAUAGCUCACAGAUUGUCGUAUAGCUCAAAGAGAAUGUAGUAUAACUUGAACUCCAUGUUGUGGACGAACUGUAAGAAACUGAAAAGGCGAGUGGACAUAAGCUGGGGAAAGGGUAAAUGAGUAGUGUUGUAGAAUCAUUGAGAGCGCAAUCUUUGCUUCAUUGGAAGCGAAGUUGAUUCCUGCACACAUUCUAGGUCCCAUUCCAAAGGGUGAGAAUGAACCCAUGUUAUCAUUAGUAGCUUUAGCAACCCCUUCAGAGAAUCUCUCUGGUUUGAAAAGUGCCGCUUCUUGUCCCCAUAUUUGAGAAUCAUGAUGAAGUGCUACAGUUGGGAUAAGCAAUUCAACAUUUGCAGGAACUUGGACUGCUCCCAGUUUUACUUCUCUUGGAACUAUCCUUCCGAUCAAAUUAACAGGAGGAUAUAACCUUAGAGUCUCAUUAAUAAUCAUGCUCAUCUGCAUGCAUCAAAAUAUAAAAAGAUAAGAGAUGAAACUGAGAUUAGUAAACUAACUUAGUUGCAGAUGCCCGUCAAUUAGACGAUCAUAUAUGUGUGUGCGUGUGUUUGUGUGUGUUUAUAUCUAUUUUUCAAUUGAGAUAGUGAUGUUCUUACUGUUUUGAGUUUGGAAAUGCCAUCAGAAUUUGGAGUUUCUUUGCCAAAUAACUGCAACACCUCCUUUCUUGCUUCCUCUUGCCAUUCAGGAUGUUGUGCCAGAAGAAAAACAGUCCAAGAAAGCAAAGUACUAGUUGUCUCCUGUCCAACAAAGUAUAAUGCCUUGCACUCUUCAACCACAUUGUCUAUCGAAAAUUUCUGGUCGUCAUUGAUGUCAUGAUGAGACUUCAAAAGUAAGCCAAGAAAAUCACUCCCAAAGCUCUCUCCUUCCCCGCUGCUUGCCUUCUGUUCUCUUUUCUUAACAAUCUCCAUUACAGAGUCUUGUAUUUCUUUCUCAAGCUUGUCUGCUUCAAUCUCACCGCUGGUUCUAUAAACCUUGCUGCUAUUUUGAAUGAGAAGCAACAUGCAUCAACCAAUUAAUCAAUAUUCAAUAGCUAAAAGAGAAAGAUCGAUUCUGGGAAGCUACCUGAUUCCAGGAAACCUGGUCUUGUACUUGUAAAGAUUUUUGAAUACUAUGAUGCUUAAAUUCUUCAACAUUUCAAAAAUGUUUUGUCCUUCUAAGUAGCUGCUGCCAAACGCUGUCCUGGCAAUCACUUCUGAAGUCAACAAUCUAAAUUCCUCAAACACAUCAGUCUCUUUUCCUUCAUGAUUUUUCCACCUUUCUAUCAUCGCCUCUGCACUAGCUGUCAUGUCUGGAAACAUAGCCUUGUAACAAAAUACCAUCAUACAACUAUUAAGUUUAAUAUUCUUGUUUUAGGAGAAUUUUAGAAAUAACUGUGUUUUUUUGAAACUUUCUUGAACUAAAACAUAUUGAUUUUUUUUUCAAUUAAAACUAAAACUGAAACAUAUUGAUUGAAGGACCUAAAUAAGUAUAUAUGGAACAGUCCUAGUCUAACCCAUGAUCUCCACGAUCAUAAUUUGAGAAGUAACAAACAGCCACAGGUCCAGAACUCAUGGUAUCUAAACAUAUUGCAGUAAGAAAGUAAGAAACAACUAUGAAGAGUAACUUACUUUUAAGCUCUCUCCAUGGAAGGCAUGGUUGGCCAGCUUUCUCAAAUUGGCCCAUUUUUCAUCUUCUGUCAUGGCAAGGCUAUCUCCAAAUAGCUUCUUCACAAUGUCACUAGGCUUUGGUUUUGGAAAAGCUCCAUCUUUGUUAUUGAAAAUCUCUUUGCAUGACUCAGGUUCUGUAACAACCAAAACUGGUUGAACACCAUACCACAUAAGAAAGUUCUUCCCUGUGUAACACAGCGCUUGGACCAAAUUAAAACAUUGAACAGAGUUUGAUAAUAAACUAUAUUUAGUUAAGUAACUAAGAGUUUGUGAUACCAUAUCUCUUCGACCACGAGUGAAUAUGAGGAUGAAGUCGAGGAAAUAUAUCAUGUGAUAAGUUUCUGGGCAUGAGCGCAGCUUCCUUUUGCAUGUUGAUGAUUUCUUUGCCGUUUCCAUACAGAAGUCUGUAUGGAGGACCUUUGAUUCCCCUCAGACUCAUCAGUUUCUGAAUCCGAAUAGGAGUCCACCAUAGUUUGUGAAACACCUUGAUUAGAGCUAAGAGAAGAAGAAACAGACACAGAAACCUUAACAUCAUGAUCAUCUUUCUUGUCAUUUUUCUUCCAGGCUCGGUCCGCUAUUUAACUUUUCUGGUAUUCAUUGAUAAUUAUUGUUGACUUUGACAUUUUGGCAGGCAAAGGAGUAUGACAAAUACUAGAGCCUAGAGAUCAAUCUUGUCCACAUCUUGAUGACACUAUAUGAAUAUGAAAUAAAAUGCCGUGGAGUAACUAAACAGGUAAAAAAACUGAGUAUGAACUGGUCAAAUGCCACCACUGGUGUGAAAGUUAAAUACGAAUAGUUAUUUUUAUUUUAUAAGCUACAAUAUGUUCUAGAUGGAAUGUAAGAUUUUAUGGGGAAAUUUUGGUCUUCACCAGUCAGAGUGAGUGUAGAAUAACUUGAAGUCCAUGCUGUGGACGAACUGUGAGAAAUUGAAAGGGUGAGUGGACAUAAGCUGGGGAAAGUGUGAAGGAGUAGCGUUGUAGGAUCAUUGCAAGAGCAAUCUUUGCUUCUAUGGUGGCAAAGUUGAGGCCAACACAAGUUCUAGGUCCCAUUCCAAAGGGUAAGAAUGCAGCCAUGUUGUUGUUGGUAGCACUUGCAACACCUUCUGAGAAUCUCUCCGGUUUAAAAACUUUCACAUCUUGUCCCCAGAACUGAGGUUCAUGAUGAAGUGCUAGAUUUGGGACAAGAAAUUCAACAUUAGGAGGGAUAGUAAGGUUUCCCAGUCUAACUUCCUUAUCCACGUUUCGUGCGAGGGUUAUAACAGGAGGAUAUAGCCUCAGAGACUCAUUGAUGAUCAUACUCAUCUGCAUCAAAAUAUAAAGAGCAGCUCAAGAUUAAUCGAACAUUUAUCCCAUUUAGACAAACAUAUACAUGAGGGCAGAGUUUUUAUACUUUCUUACUGUUUUCAGUUUAGCAAGGCCAUCAGGACUUGGAGGUUGUUUGCCAAAUAUUUGCAGGACCUCCUUUCUCGCUUCCUCUUGCCAAUCCGGAUGGAGAGCCAGAAGAAAGACAGUCCAAACAAGCAAAGAGUUGGUGGUAUCUUGUCCAGCAAAGUAAAACGUCUUGCACUCCUCAACCAAUUCAUUCACUGAAAUCCUCUGCUUGUCAUUGGCACCAUG
rnacentral:lncRNA from 1 species